AAGGUCUGAAAAAUAACAAUAUGGAUUCGUCUCAAAAAGGACAUAUGUGUCAUAUAUACCCCUUUUUGUUAUGACGUCUUCAAUAUUAUCGUGAACGUGCAAUUUUCCUGUCGCCAUUGAAAACAUCAAUCAAAAUAACGGAAGAGGAAAAUAUAUAAUAUGAUAAGAUGAAAUAUUAAUAAUAUUUCCUGGAAGUUGUAUUGUGUAGUCUACCGAAAUAGCUGAUAUAAUUUGUCUCUAAAUAAAAUCAAGUAUUCCUUCGGCUCCAUUGAACGGGUUUUGAUUUUUUCAUUGACAAGAGAAGUAUGUACCUACUUCAAACAGCAAAAAAAAAUUUCAAACUGCACAAAGCUAGAUUGAAUUGAAACAGCAUGCAAAUACACAUCAUCAUUCAUCUGCCAAAAUUUAAGACACCAAAGUGUAUUUUUCAAUUUUUGGUCUAUUUUUGAAAAUUAAAUUUUGGCCAACAAGGCGAAAAAAAAUGAACGCACGUAAAAUAAGUAUGUAAUAAUUAUAAAGAAAAAAUAUGGGGUAAACAUGGAUGUUUUUUGCGCCGGCCGAAGAUCUUUCUGAAAUUUGCAUCACCAUAAACGCUGACUCAAACUUGGAAACAAAAUUCGGGUGAUUUUCUGACUUUAUGCCAGACUUUUGAAAACUUGGAAGAAAGUCAAUCGACUUUCAGGGAAUCAGACAUUAAAAAAUGCUGACUUUUGAAAAUUAAAAAAAAAAUAGGUGCUUAUUGUUGACUUUCUGACAGUAUGCUGCAGUUUGAAAACUUCAAAGAAAAUCGAUCAGUCAGUGCGAGAUAUGUUGAGAUUCAUCGGUACGAGCUAAUUAAAACUGUUUUGCUUCUUCUUAUCUUUAUCUAGGUACCUACGUAAUUAGGUACGUAGGUAAAGGCAUACUAUUCUUAUCUUGUUAUUUGUUAUGUAUGAUAUUGUAUUAUUCGGUAUUCCCGGGUAAAAUAGGUGAAAUGCUCCAGUCCUCAGAUUUUUGAAAUUUUGAUGAAACAUUGUUGGGUACCUUUAAACAAAUGUUGGAGGCUAAAAAAUUUCCCAUGCCCCACCCCCUUGCCCACAAUGGCAAAUAAACUAUUUUCCAACGAGUUUUGAAUAAAAAAUUUUGAAUUCACCCAAAAUAUAAUAUGGAGGAGACAUGAGUCCAGCAACGUUUUUUUCAAAAUUUUUCGCCUCCCCCCUCCCCCUGGGAUAUAUUGACAAAAGAAAAUUACAAAUCGCCGUAUCUCCGAACCUAAUUCAAAAUUUGUUGGAACUAUAAUUGAUAUUUUUUCCAAAUUUUUUCUCCAGGUACGAGUAGGCAGUCUUCAAAAAAUCAGAAAACACUCAAAAUUGUGUUUUUUGAGUCACUAUACGUAUACGUACCAACAAAAAAAGCGAUACUGCCGGUGAUAUAAUUUGCAUUCGGGUCUCCCAAAAACAAUAGAAAACCAACCAACUUCUUGAAACCCAAAUUUGUGGUCAUAUAUAGGCACCCCCUCCGCCAAUUUUGGGGCUGUGGUGAAAGAAGAUCGACAAUAUGGGUCGUUAUUGUAUACGAAUCGAACUCGCUGAACACGAAUAUGAAGUUAGAUUUGCAGUUGAACUCUCCGAGGGGUCACAUUGGAGGAGGCAGGAUAACCAAAAAUUGAGUUCUUAUUUUUCUCACAACAAAUUGGGUAGAGAGAGGCCAUAUCUUUCCUUCAAGGACACUUCUGGAGCUAGUAUUUUUUUUUCUAUAUAACAUUCAACUCAAAAUGACGGUUUCUGCUGAAUUUGGUCGAAGACCUCGAUCGGAAUUGCAACAAGUCUUCUGAAGCACGUACAAUUAAGAUGAGUACCUGGCGCAUAAAAAUCCAUAGACUAGGUUCAGUGACAUAGCAAAGAUAUUUCAAAGAAUGGGGUAAAACCAGAUUCUAAGAAAGAAAAAUUGAAAUUUGAGGCGAUUUUCUAAAAAUCUUUCAAAUUGAAUGGUUAAUACUUCAUGAAAAUAGAACUACAAGUACUGCUGCAGCGGAAACUUUUCCAAGCAAUUGAUUUGAAAAAGCUAAUUUUUUAUUAUGUUUACCUGUUUACCCACAGAGCGGGGGGGUGCAAUGCCACCAGUUGCCUCUCCUAUGCUAUUGGCCAGGCUUUCCAUUCAGUUGUUACAGCUGGUGAUUCAUCAUCAGAAAAUUUCAAUUUACAACAAUAUGAUUUGAUUCAAGCGUACCUAAUAAGAAAUCAUAUAAAAUUAUAUCCAAUGACAUCGAAAACCUUAAAAAAAAACGAGCUAUUUUAAAGAAGCUUCAUAUACUAUUCGAAUUACAUUUUAGAGAAAAAAGAUGAAUGAAGAUAAUGAUGAUUAUUAUAAUUCAUAAUUCUUCGUAUAGGUGCUCUCAUUCGCCAAUAAAUUUUGAUAACAAGCAUCAACUCAUUAGUCAUUACGCAUUAGAAAAAUUGUAUUCUGUCCUCAUAUCAGUACUCUUUGUUGGCGGAUUGUGUAGUUGUUUGAUUUGAUUUCUGCAUUACAGUACAACUUGCUUUUCGUAGAAGUACACGUAUCUAAGUUCGUUGUGUAUGAUUUUUCGGACAUCCGAUAGACUGACCAGUAUAAUCUUAUAAAUCUUAUAUUGAUUUUUCCAAAUAUCAAAUUCAUUUUACGUAACUACGUUCUGAUGGAUAUUCCAUCAGUUCGUUUCGUGAUAGUAACCCUACUGUUGUUCAGUGUCGGAUCAUAUUUGGUGACGAGUGCUUCUACUGACAAGCCAUGCGAUCACAAUACUGGAUAUGCUUCGAGUUCGGCCAAUAACUCUUGCAAAACUUCAGUAACACAUGCCAUUGAGGUAGCUACAAAUUGGGUCAAAGAUCAAUGGAACCGCCGAUUCGGAUGACAGCGAUACUUAACUGAACGGAAAAUACGAAGAUUUCAAUGUAAAAUACCUCAUUCGUAAUUAGAGUAUUCAAGACUGAAACUUCUGCGUCAUUUUUGAACCUACCAACUCUUUCACCUCCACACCGGAAUAAAAUCUAACAUAGCCUAUAUUGUUCAUUUGACUGCGGAAUUUUUCGAGUGAUAGUUCCAACUUGUAUAAAGUCGGAUAUGGAUACAUUUUAGCACUUUUCAUCCGAAUCUUCAUGGAUGAAGGUCAAUUUUAAGAUAUUCGGAAGUCUUCAACGAAUCACUACAAGGUACAUAAAAAUAAACCUCUUCGUAAAUAAAUGAACUGACCUACCUAAUUGCAAAUGUACUGUUAAAGGUAGAUAAUUUUUAAAAAAGUUGAUUUUGAUUCAUUGCCGUGGUUCUAUGAAUUUGAAUUUAAAUGCUCUUAUACAGGGCUCGUACUCAUUUAUUUCCAAAAAAAGUAACUUUGAAAACCAAAAAAGUGACGAAACAUGGGCAAAAGCAAAACAAUCUUAAUGUACUCGUAGAAAAAAAAUCACAGAAAGAACCAGAACUUUUAGUUUUUAUUUAAAAUUUAAAAAUUUAACUCGAUAGAAAUUUGCACUAAUUUAGCAAAAAGCAGGUCAUUUUGUCAUCAUUAUAGUGCCCACAAAGUCAAUUUUUUUAUUAAAAAAUCCAGUUUUUUUGUCAAUUUAGGAUAAGUGAGAAUUUUGCUAUUCCUAGCAAAAAUCUAAACUUUUUACAACUCAACGAGGGAAAGGUAUUUUUAGCAAUUUCUGGAAAAAAAAAAACUACACAUUAGGACAAAUGUUUGAAAAAGUACUUUUUUGCUACUGCAAUGUUGCUAAAAAGCGAGAAUUUCUGUUACAUAAAAAAUAAAAAUAAAAACUUUGACAAUUUUAGCAAAAAACAGAAUUCAACUAGUUAUUCGCACAAAAAUGAUGUUUUGUCUAAGAAUUUUGAAAUUUUAGCAAAAGGCAAGGCUUUUUCGCAAUUAUUGGCUAUUACUUUUUUUUUUUCAAAAUAUGAGACUUCUUGAAAUUUUUUGCGAGGAAUCACAAUUUUUAGAAGUUUUCAACGAGAAUUCACGCUUUUUGACAACUUUUAAUUCUAUUUUACUACAUAUUUUUGGCAAAAAACGAGACAUUUUUUCUUGUUUUCUUCACAAAGUAGGCCCUGAGAUGUGAAAAAAUAGCAUUUUCCAAUUUUUUUCAAAAGUGGCUUAAGUAACCAAAAUUUUAAGAAAAGUGGGUAACCAAAAUUUAGUAACUUAAUUACUUAAAAAAUGCCUAUAUAACCGAGUAUAAACCCUGGCUGCUCAACCUUGCUGAAUUGAAAAAAAAAUUUCUCACCGGGUAUUUAUUAUUUUAGUUUUAUAUUUUUCAUUUUUAAUAUCUAUGAUACCUGUAAGUGGAUAUGUUGUUUUGAAAAAAAAAUAUACGUUUUUCUAUUGAGAAUGAGAACAAGAACCUACAGAAUUACAUUUUCACCACAGAAUUUGUUACGACGAUCAACAGGAAUUUGAAAUUUGAAUGAUGAGAAAGUAAGCAUUAAAAUCAAUUCUGUUGAGAUGAAAUAUGUAUUUCGUUUUCAAAAAAAGUGUAAUUAUUACAAAAAAUAUUGGUGGGGAGAGGGCGAUAGACAUUCUAUUACGAGUAGAAAAAAAUUAGUAGAUUAAAAUAACUAAAUGGAACUGUAGGUAAUAGUCUUUCCGAGUGAUAUCAAAAAUUGAUGGUUUUAGACUUUCGCGAGGGAUUCCUCUGCCAUGACUUGAUGGUAUUCGAUGAAUUUUGGAUAUGCUGUACAAUAUACAAGAGUAUUCUUCGAACAUCUCUACGUCGCCCAUAAAUAAUUAUAUUCUAUAUUUGCCCUUACUGGAAUUUUUUAAAAAUUGUUACCUACUUUUGAAAAACUUCAUAGGUAGUAAAAAACUCUCUCCAAAGACUUUAAAUCUAUUUAAAACAGAUCAAUAUCAUUCUAAAAAGACAAAACUUACUUCAAACGCUCACCAAAAUAAUAUUCCAAUAAAAAAAUCGUCUAAAAAAAUGAAAAAAUUUUCUCUUCCAGAUCGAUUUCGAGCCCUAGUAUGCAAACUUCGAUACAAUUUCUUCGACCGGGAGUAGUGGCGUACUCCUGUAAACCAGUGACUAGGUGGUCGGGUAACGAGGAUGGUUUGAGGCGCGGAUCACUAGUGGCUGGAUGCUCACGUUGACCGGGCGUCCACGCUAAGUCUGUCGUCAAUAUGGUGGUCUCCGGGGAGCUGGAGGCAACCAGGUUGGCUAACGAGGGAUGUACCGGGCCAGGGGGGAAACCCAGCAGCCAAAAGUCCCCGCGGCGGGCAGUAGCGGGAUAGCGCCUGGGAGUAAGCGCCAGUCGUUAGCCGUGUCAAUAUAAUCAGACCGUUACCUUUU